UACCAGCUCUCCGAGUGGUAGGGAUGAUUAUUGGGCUUAAAGCGUCCGUAGCCGGCUUAGCAAGUUUCCUGUUAAACUCAGCGACCUAAUCGUCGAAUCGCGGGAAAUACUACUAGGCUAGGAGGCGGGAGAGGUUGACGGUACUUCUGGGGGUAGGGGUGAAAUCCUAUAAUCCCGGGAGGACCACCAGUGGCGAAGGCUGUCGACUAGAACGCGCUCGACGGUGAGGGACGAAAGCUGGGGUAGCGAACCGGAUUAGAUACCCGGGUAGUCCCAGCUGUAAACGAUGCGGGCUAGGUGUUGGGAUGGCUACGUGCCAUUUCAGUGCCGCAGGGAAGCCAUUAAGCCCGCCGCCUGGGGAGUACGGCCGCAAGGCUGAAAACUUAAAGGAAUUGGGCGGGGGAGCACCACAAGGCGUGAAGCUUGCGUUC
rnacentral:rRNA from 1 species